AGCGAACGCGGUGAACUGAAACAUCUAAGUAACCGCAGGAAAAGAAAUCAACCGAGAUUCCCAAAGUAGUGGCGAGCGAAAUGGGAUGAGCCUUGCACUCUUUAUUUGUAUUGUUAGCCGAACGCUCUGGAAAGUGCGGCCAUAGCAGGUGAUAGCCCUGUAGGCGAAAACAGUAUGAAAGAACUAGGUGUGCGACAAGUAGGGCGGGACACGUGAAAUCCUGUCUGAAGAUGGGGGGACCAUCCUCCAAGGCUAAAUACUCGUGAUCGACCGAUAGUGAACCAGUACCGUGAGGGAAAGGCGAAAAGAACCCCGGGAGGGGAGUGAAAUAGAUCCUGAAACCGCAUGCAUACAAACAGUCGGAGCCUCGUAAGGGGUGACGGCGUACCUUUUGUAUAAUGGGUCAGCGACUUACGUUCAGUAGCAAGCUUAACCGUAUAGGGCAGGCGUAGCGAAAGCGAGUCCGAAUAGGGCGUUCAGUUGCUGGGCGUAGACCCGAAACCAAGUGAUCUAUCCAUGGCCAGGAUGAAGGUGCGGUAACACGUACUGGAGGUCCGAACCCACUAACGUUGAAAAGUUAGGGGAUGAGCUGUGGAUAGGGGUGAAAGGCUAAACAAACUUGGAAAUAGCUGGUUCUCUCCGAAAACUAUUUAGGUAGUGCCUCGUGUCUCACCUUCGGGGGUAGAGCACUGUCAUGGUUGGGGGGUCUAUUGCAGAUUACCCCGCCAUAGCAAACUCCGAAUACCGAAGAGUGCAAUCACGGGAGACAGACAUCGGGUGCUAACGUCCGGUGUCAAGAGGGAAACAACCCAGACCGCCAGCUAAGGUCCCCAAAUAUAGCUAAGUGGGAAACGAAGUGGGAAGGCUAAAACAGUCAGGAGGUUGGCUUAGAAGCAGCCACCCUUUAAAGAAAGCGUAAUAGCUCACUGAUCGAGUCGUCCUGCGCGGAAGAUGUAACGGGGCUAAGCUAUAUACCGAAGCUGCGGAUGCGUGCUUAGCACGCAUGGUAGGAGAGCGUUCUGUAAGCCUGCGAAGGUGUCUCGGAAGGGAUGCUGGAGGUAUCAGAAGUGCGAAUGCUGACAUGAGUAGCGAUAAAGGGGGUGAAAGGCCCCCUCGCCGUAAGCCCAAGGUUUCCUACGCAACGUUCAUCGGCGUAGGGUGAGUCGGCCCCUAAGGCGAGGCAGAAAUGCGUAGCUGAUGGGAAGCAGGUCAAUAUUCCUGCACCAUUGUUAGAUGCGAUGGGGGGACGGAUCGCGGAAGGUUGUCCGGGUGUUGGAAGUCCCGGUCGCUGCAUUGGAGAAGGCGCUUAGGCAAAUCCGGGCGCGUA
rnacentral:rRNA from 1 species